rnacentral:rRNA from 1 species
AACGAACGCUGGCGGCAUGCCUAACACAUGCAAGUCGAACGAGACCUUCGGGUCUAGUGGCGCACGGGUGCGUAACGCGUGGGAACCUGCCCUUAGGUUCGGAAUAACUCCCCGAAAGGGGUGCUAAUACCGGAUAAUGUCUUCGGACCAAAGAUUUAUCGCCUUUGGAUGGGCCCGCGUUGGAUUAGCUAGUUGGUAGGGUAAAAGCCUACCAAGGCGACGAUCCAUAGCUGGUCUGAGAGGAUGAUCAGCCACACUGGGACUGAGACACGGCCCAAACUGAGGGGGGGGGAAGAGGGGGAGAAUGUGGGACAAGGGGGGAAAGCGUGAUCCAGCGGUGCGGGGGGAGUGAAGGGGGCUUGAGGGUGGACAAGCUUUGUUAGCGGGGAGGAUAACGACAGCAGGGGGAGAAUCGGCGCCGGCUAACGACGGGCCAGCGGCCGCGGUAAUAAGAGGAAGAGAAGCCGUCAGAAC